rnacentral:lncRNA from 1 species
GAAAGAGAUCCAAUCUUUAUGUGAAAGAAUAAUCUUCAUGUUAAUCAAGGUAUUAACGUGAUUACAGAUAAUUUCUGUAAAUACCACGAAGCAAUCUUCAAGCACCAAGGGGGGUUUUCUUUUUUGUUUUUCUUUCUUUCUUUUUUUUUUUUUUGUCUUUUUGCCUUUUCUAGGGCCACUCUCGUGGCAUAUGGAGGUGCCCAGGCUAGGGGUCUAAUCGGAGCUGUAGCCAUCAGCCUUCACGACAGCCACAGCAACGCGGGAUCCAAGCCGCAUCUGCAACCUACACCACAGCUCAGAGCAAGGCCAGAUCCUUAACCUACUGAGUAAGGCCAGGGAUUGAACCCACAACCUCAUGGUUCCUAGUCGGAUUCUUUAACCACUGAGCCAAGAUGGGAACUCCCAAGGGGGGUUUUCAAAUAAGAAAAAGGUUUUUACACCUGUAGGACAUGGCUUAUAUACUAUCUUCUUUUAAUAAGUAUUUGGGGAAAGAACAUGUUAAAAUGGAUAGUUAAAAUCAAGAUGGAGUUCCCAUCGUGGCUCAGCGGUAACAAACCCGACUAGUAUCCAUGAGGACGCAGGUUCAAUCCCUGGCUUCAAUCAGUGGGUUAAGGAUCCAGCAUCUAUAGCUUGCAGACGUGGCUUGGAUCCCGUGUUGCUGUGGCUGCGGUAUAGGCUGGCAGCUACAGCUCCGAUUCGACUCCUAGCCUGGGAACUUCCAUAUGCUGCAGGUGUGGCCCUAAAAAGACUAAAUAAAUAAAUAAAUACAAUCAAGAUGGAUUCAUCAGAGACCGGGAAAUGCUUUGGAAGCAGAAGAAUAAAACCAAGUUUCACUGACUGUGUGAGCUAAAUUUGGCUUUGAGCUUCCUGGCAACCAAAGCAAAAAUAAACCAAAAGACCCUCACCAUUCCUGUUUUAAAACAAGUAUUCUCAACCAGGCACCAUGCCCCCUAAAUUGGUGAAAACUGGUUCUUGGGGAACAAAAGUCAAAACCUUUGCUAAUGUAAAAAGCGUAGAUAUUCAUGAAGUCCAUAAAUAGAUAUACAGGUAUCUUUACUAUUAAAACUUCUUGAUGGGGAGUUAUUGGGGGGAAAAUGCCUAAAAAGGUGGGGAGAAAUCAUGAAAAGAGGUUGAGGAGCACUGUUUCUGAGUAAAAGGAAUCACUGUGGCUGGAGAGGCAACCUCUCUAGAACAACUGCAAACUCAUCCUAGAAAGAAUGUCGUGAGAAGGCAUGUGACGACACACAGGUCAGUUUCUCCUUGACUCUAACUUUGUAGCCCAACCUUGUUUAGAAGGUUUAAAAACAAAAAAAAAUGCGUCUGCCUAGUUUGAGAGGUCCACUUUUUAUAAAUACAUAUUUAUAAUUUAUACUAGGAAAUUUGUGUAACAUGGAACAAAAUGUGUUCAGUUUUCCUUUCCUUUCCUAACUGUUGCUUGUCACAUAAUUUGCAGCUCCGGAGCCCAGCGCGGGAUUCCCAGCGCUGGGGGAGAAUGGGGAUGUGGGGGAGGGACCUGGGUGGAGUGUGCAGUACAGGGAUUAUCCAGGGAGACUUCCUGGAGGAGGCCGUGGGGCAGGGCAAGAACUAGAACCCAGAUGCUGUUCUAAAAUAAAAACAUUUCCAUAGGGCUAGGGACUAUUUCGAUCAGUUUUGGCUACGGCUUCUACAAAGUGAAAUGCUGACUUUUCGAAAAUAACUGGAAAAAAAAAAAAGAUAAAUUAAAAAAAAAUUACCUGGCCAAGGGCUGGCCCCUGGGCUGCCCUUCCAGGCGGGGGUGCAGUGCAAUUACCUUAGGAUGGAGGAUAAUAUCCGGUCCUAACAUUCAAUGGAGGAUGAGUAUUCAUGCUGGUCAAAGAGGAAAGAUUCUCGCAAAGGAAAAACUUCCAUAUUCACGAGUCUAAAAUUUUCCUGACUAUUUACAAGUUCGAAUAAUCUGAGGGAUCAGCAAUUGGGUGAGAAAGCUCCUCUGAGCCUCCUGGGCUCUGCAUCAGCCUCCUCGGAAGCCUGGUUAGAAGGGGCAGAGUCACACCCUUGCAUUUGACCAGAGACACCUACGGACUGAAAGCAGGAGCCCAGCGCCCCUUCUUCGUUUCAACUCAGAUUCAGAGGAAAUUGGGAGGUCUGAUGCCUCUGGAGUUAAAAGAUACACCCCCUCAAAGAAGCCCUCUCAAAUUAGCAGCUGAAAAGGCUAAAAGGAAACAUAAUAACUGAAGUACAGCCAGAGAGUCCAGGGCUGGGUUGAGAGAGAAAGUUCCAGCCGGCUGGAGGCUCUGCUCUGCUCUGUCUCUAAGCACAGCAGGUGCAGACACGCAGAGGGCUCUGGGUCUGUCCGUCUGGGCUCCAAGUCAGAGACAAUAGAGGUGAUUAAGGACCGUGUCUGAGGAAGAUGCACACAUAGAUCUUAAAAAAUCACAAAGCUCUUUAAGAAGGCGGAAUAGAGGGAGUUCCCUGGCAGCUCAGCAGAGCAGGUUAACGACCUGGUGUUGUUGCGGCUGUGGCUUGGUUGAGUCACUCCUGUGGCGUGGGUUCAAUCCCUGGCCCGGAACUCUUGUAUGCCAUGGGUGCAGCCAAAAAAAAAAAAAAAAAAA